CCUUCAACAACCACCACCCUGAUCAGUCAGCAGCCAUCAAUGAGGCAAGGUCCACCAGAAACAGAAACAGACUAGGACUCUCCGAAAGCUCAGCUGAUUGUUAACAUUUUCUGGCAAUAAAGUAUUUUUAAUCCAGAUGGAGUUUCACUCUUGUUGCCCAGGCUGGAGUGCAAUGGCGUGAUCUCGGCUCACCGCAACCUCUGCCUCCCAGGUCUUGGAAAUGGCUAGAAUCUGUCCUGAACUCUUGGCAUCUUCUGAUACUCAACGAUGGAGCAUGGCGUGAACAUCAUCCUGCUGCCCUACACAAUAUUGUCUAGACUAUGGGUAGCUAAAAAAUCUAUUUGCAAUUAAUAAUAAAGAAAUAAAAACAAGGUUCUGAUUAAGUAUUCUGCAGUAUAUUUUCCUGGAAUAUUGGCUACUUAAAUGUUUUUCAUAUAAUUAUUAAAUAAAUAUUUAUUCCGAU